AUGAGAACCCUAUGCUGGAGCUGCCGUGGGAUUGGCGACCCCGCGAUAGUACGUGAGCUCCGUGAUCUUGUGGAGGCUAGUGCGCCGUCGGUGCUUUGUAUAGUGGAGACACAAAUAGCAAAGAACCGAGUGGAGGAUUUGCCUGUUUCGUUAGGGUUUGAUAGUAGCUUUGCAGUAGCAAGUAGUGGAAGGAGUGGAGGUCUAUGUAUUUUCUAG
rnacentral:rRNA from 1 species